CUCUGCUUUGGUCUCUCUGCAGCAUAUUGAUUUUGAAGGCUUUCGAACACUGAUGACAAUCUACCUGGACGUGGACGACAUUCCCAGUCAAUUUUGUCAGCAUCUCUUUCGCUCCUUUCAGACAAAGCCAAGUGAGAAAGAUGUUCAAAUCCCCGAUACAAUCGAUCCCACUGGGCCAGAUGUUGUCUUUGUGAAGGACGUCGUGUGUUACUUAUCCUUCCUGGAGGGAGGCCAGCCUGAAGAUAAGCUCAAAUGAAACGUCCGAUUGGCAGGAGUAACCUGGAUGAGGAAUUUGUCGAAGGCUUUCGAGAGAGCUUCUGAAACUGACCAGAGAGCAGGUUCUGUUUGGCCUGGCAUUGUUUAAUGAAGCAGGAUGAAUUAAUAACCUUGGACUUCUAUCGAGCAACAACGACAACAUGACUGAAUUUGGAAGGGGAGAAGAAUGGAUCUCAGACUAGUGUUUUAAACUUAAAAAAAAAGAUAACUAUGGCCAUAAAAGCUGAGCUGGUUGAAAUGAACUGGGAUAGAUUUGUAUAUAUUUUAUUAUGUACAAUUGAAUACUUAGGAUAACUGUAAAGAAAAAUUAACCAUCCAUGCUUAACCAAUUAUGUUAAAUAAAGUACCAAACUUAAGGAAGAAACAUCUAACGGCGUAAAGCUGAGUGGCAGAACAGAUGAUGAGUCAGAACAGAAAGAAUGGCAGGUAAUGACAAAAACGGUUAGUCAGGAAAGAGAACUUCGAGGGUGAGAGUAAGCUUGCUAGAAAUGUGAAAACAGACAGCAGGAGUUUCUGUAAGUAUCCAUAAAGGAAAGCAGUAAACCAAGUCUUUAAGUGUUGGUCCUCUAGAGAGUGAGGAUGAUGAGUUCCAGGAGAUAAA